rnacentral:rRNA from 1 species
UACGGAGGGGGCUAGCGUUGUUCGGAAUUACUGGGCGUAAAGCGCACGUAGGCGGCUUUGUAAGUUAGAGGUGAAAGCCCAGGGCUUAACCCUGGAAUUGCCUUUAAGACUGCAUCGCUAGAAUCGUGGAGAGGUGAGUGGAAUUCCGAGUGUAGAGGUGAAAUUCGUAGAUAUUCGGAAGAACACCAGUGGCGAAGGCGACUCACUGGACACGUAUUGACGCUGAGGUGGCGAAAGCGUGGGGAG